GGGGAUUUAGCUCAGUGGCAGAGCGCUUGCUUAGCAAGCGCAAGGCCCUGGGUUCAGUCCCCA
rnacentral:tRNA from 1 species